rnacentral:rRNA from 1 species
GUGCCAGCCGCCGCGGUAAAACGUAGGAGGCGAGCGUUAUCCGGAUUUACUGGGCGUAAAGCGCACGCAGGCGGUUUCGUAAGUCGGACGUGAAAGCUCCCGGCUCAACUGGGAGAGGUCGUUCGAUACUGCGAGACUUGAGGUUGGGAGAGGGGAGCGGAAUUCCCGGUGUAGUGGUGGAAUACGUAGAUAUCGGGAGGAACACCAGUGGCGAAGGCGGCUCCCUGGCCCACACCUGACGCUCAGGUGCGAAAGCGUGGGUAGCGAACGGGAUUAGAUACCCCGGUAGUCCACGCCGUAAACGAUGCGAACUAGGUGUUGGUGGUAUUAACCCCAUCAGUGCCGAAGCUAACGCGUUAAGUUCGCCGCCUGGGGACUACGGCCGCAAGGCUAAAACUCAAAGGAAUUGACGGGG